ACGAAGGGGGCUGGCGUUGUUCGGAAUCACUGGGCGUAAAGCGCACGUAGGCGGAUGUGUCAGUCAGGGGUGAAAUCCCGGAGCUCAACUUCGGAACUGCCUCUGAUACGGCACGUCUUGAGUCCGGAAGAGGAGGGUGGAAUUCCUAGUGUAGAGGUGAAAUUCGUAGAUAUUAGGAAGAACACCGGUGGCGAAGGCGGCCCACUGGUCCGGUACUGACGCUGAGGUGCGAAAGCCAGGGGAGCAAACGGGA
rnacentral:rRNA from 1 species